GGAGGAUAUGCCGAGCGGCUUAGGCAAAAGUUUGCUAAACUUUGACCGCGUAAGCGGUCGGUGGGUUCGACUCCCGCAUCCUCCGCCA
rnacentral:tRNA from 2 species